GGUUUUUCUUCUAUAAUUUGGAGACACCUUAAUCCUAUAAAUAGAGGUGUCUCCCUUAAAGUAAAUUCAUUUUGAGAUUAGUAUUGAAAUGCUGCUAAAUUUUUAUAUCAUUUUACUUGUCUCUAAAAUCAAGGUUAGAGUAUUCCAUGUGGUCUCCUCUAACUAUCUUUCUUAAGAGUUGGUCUAACCAUUCUUAAGAGCACCCAACAUCACCAUUACCCCCUUUCUAACAUCCAAAUCCAUCAAUGCUCCCCACCAUACAUCCCUUUUGCUUCCGC
rnacentral:lncRNA from 1 species